rnacentral:rRNA from 1 species
AGGUUAAGUUAGAAAGGGCGCACGGUGGAUGCCUUGGCACUAGGAGCCGAUGAAGGACGGUACUAACACCGAUAUGCUUCGGGGAGCUGUAAGUAAGCUUUGAUCCGGAGAUUUCCGAAUGGGGAAACCCUCUAUCCGUAAUGGGAUAGAAUCUUUACCUGAAUACAUAGGGUAUUGAAGGCAGACCCGGGGAACUGAAACAUCUAAGUACCCGGAGGAAGAGAAAGCAAACGCGAUUCCCUGAGUAGCGGCGAGCGAAACGGGAUUAGCCCAAACCAAGAGGCUUGCCUCUUGGGGUUGUAGGACACUCUAUACGGAGUUACAAAGGAAUGAAGUAGACGAAUCGAUCUGGAAAGGUCAGUCAUAGAAGGUAACAACCCUGUAGUUGAAACUUCGUUCCCUCCCUGAGUGAAUCCUGAGUACGGCGGAACACGUGAAAUUCCGUCGGAAGCAGGGAGGACCAUCUCCCAAGGCUAAAUACUACCUAGUGACCGAUAGUGAACCAGUACCGUGAGGGAAAGGUGAAAAGCACCCCGGAAGGGGAGUGAAAGAGAUCCUGAAACCGUGUGCCUACAAGUAGUUAGAGCCC